GACGAACGCUGGCGGCGUGCUUAACACAUGCAAGUCGAACGGAAAGGCCCUGCUUUUGUGGGGUGCUCGAGUGGCGAACGGGUGAGUAACACGUGAGUAACCUGCCCUUGACUUUGGGAUAACUUCAGGAAACUGGGGCUAAUACCGGAUAGGAGCUCCUGCUGCAUGGUGGGGGUUGGAAAGUUUCGGCGGUUGGGGAUGGACUCGCGGCUUAUCAGCUUGUUGGUGGGGUAGUGGCUUACCAAGGCUUUGACGGGUAGCCGGCCUGAGAGGGUGACCGGCCACAUUGGGACUGAGAUACGGCCCAGACUCCUACGGGAGGCAGCAGUGGGGAAUAUUGCACAAUGGGCGGAAGCCUGAUGCAGCAACGCCGCGUGCGGGAUGACGGCCUUCGGGUUGUAAACCGCUUUCGCCUGUGACGAAGCGUGAAUGACGGUAAUGGGUAAAGAAGCACCGGCUAACUACAUG
rnacentral:rRNA from 1 species